AUGGGUCUCUGUCAUGGAAAGCCCUCGCGAAUCCCGGAGCCCAAGGCGGAGGAGGAGCCGCGCGUGGCCUCCUCCGGCGCCCGCGAUGCCGCCGGUGGGGUGGCCGCCUCGCCGGCGCAGGCGGCCGCGGCGAAGCCGGGCACGCCGAAGCAGCCCAAGUUCCCCUUCUACCUGCCGAGCCCGCUCCCGGCGUCCAGCUACAAGGGCUCGCCGGCCAACUCGAGCGUGGCGUCCACGCCGGCGCGCGGCGGGUUCAAGCGGCCCUUCCCGCCGCCGUCGCCGGCCAAGCACAUCCGCGCGCUCCUGGCGCGGCGGCACGGCUCCGUAAAGCCCAACGAGGCGUCCAUCCCCGAGGGCGGCGAGCCGGAGCUGGGCCUCGACAAGAGCUUCGGCUUCUCCAAGCACUUCUUCGCCAAGUACGAGCUCGGCGAGGAGGUCGGCCGCGGCCACUUCGGCUACACCUGCGCCGCCAAGGCCAAGAAGGGCGAGCACAAGGGCCAGGACGUCGCCGUCAAGGUCAUCCCCAAGGCCAAGAUGACAACAGCCAUAGCAAUUGAAGAUGUCAGAAGAGAAGUGAGGAUAUUGAGCUCUCUGACAGGCCACAGCAACCUAGUGCAGUUCUAUGAUGCUUUUGAAGAUGAAGACAACGUGUAUAUAGUUAUGGAAUUGUGUAAAGGAGGCGAACUACUUGAUAAGAUAUUGGCGAGAGGUGGAAAGUAUUCUGAAGAGGAUGCAAAGGUUGUUAUGCUGCAAAUUUUGAGUGUAGUAUCAUUUUGCCAUCUUCAAGGUGUUGUUCAUCGGGAUCUGAAACCAGAGAAUUUUCUAUUCUCAUCGAAGGAGGAAAACUCACCCUUGAAGGUCAUAGACUUUGGCUUGUCUGACUUUGUAAAGCCAGAUGAAAGACUCAACGACAUUGUUGGAAGUGCAUAUUAUGUUGCUCCCGAGGUGCUUCAUCGAUCUUAUGGCACGGAGGGAGAUAUGUGGAGCAUUGGAGUAAUUGCCUACAUUUUGCUUUGUGGGAGUCGACCUUUCUGGGCACGCACAGAAUCAGGAAUAUUCCGAGCUGUCCUUAAGGCGGAACCAAGUUUUGACGAGGCCCCAUGGCCUACUCUCUCUGCUGAAGCCAAAGACUUUGUAAAAAGGUUGCUUAAUAAGGAUUAUCGCAAGAGGAUGACUGCCUCACAAGCUCUCAGUCACCCAUGGAUCCGUGAUGCACAACAAGUCAAAAUUCCUUUAGAUAUGAUAAUCUACAAGCUUAUCCGAGCUUAUAUCAGUUCAUCUUCAUUGCGGAAGUCUGCUUUGAGGGCCCUAGCUAAGACAUUGACAGCAAAUCAACUCUUUUAUCUAAAAGAGCAGUUUGAAUUGUUGGGUCCAAACAAGAGUGGUUUUAUCUCGUUGCAAAAUUUGAAAUCGGCUCUGGUGAAGAAUUCGACGGAUGCAAUGAAGGAUUCCAGGGUUAUUGACUUUGUUAACACGGUAUGCACCCUUCAGUACAGAAAAUUGGAUUUCGAAGAGUUUGCGGCUUCCGCCAUCAGCGUAUAUCAGAUGGAAGCUCUGGAGACCUGGGAACAGCACGCUCGGCGCGCGUAUGAGCUGUUUGACAAGGAGGGCAACCGGCCUAUCGUGAUCGAAGAACUUGCGUCGGAACUCGGCCUCGGCCCGUCGGUGCCCCUCCACGUCGUCCUCCAGGACUGGAUCAGGCACGCCGACGGGAAGCUCAGCUUCCUCGGGUUCAUAAAGCUCUUGCACGGAGUUUCUUCCCGGUCGAUCCCGAAAGCCUGA
rnacentral:rRNA from 1 species